rnacentral:lncRNA from 1 species
UCAUAAGCCAGAGAGUUACAGAUGAACAUCUGGAAGACUGGAUCCUUAGCCAUAAAAUGAAGGAACCAGGGGUGAUGAACUCAUCUGGCCAUAAACAAUGGAAAGAUGGCAAAACAUUUGAAGCAACUGCUUUCUGAAACUGGAAGACACUUAGCUCAGAACUGUGGUCUCUAAGGGUGAGGAAUCACAUGGUAAGAGAGCCCUAAUUAUCCCAGAUCCCUGCACAGGCACAAGGAGGUGGAGCCAAAGCCUUGAACAGUGGUCUUGCCGAGCUAAGGAGGCAGAUACUUGAGUUUGGGGUUGAUGGAGUGACUAGAAUUUUGGAGCAGACUCCUGGAAAGAAAACUGGAACUGCAUGGAGAAGAAUGACAGCAAUCUGCAUGAAGUUCCCUUUAUGAUUUUGGCCAAAUACUAACCUGUUCCUGCCCAGGGUAGGAUCUGUGAGGUAGAGCAGAGUGGAAUUAGAGUAGAGAUGGGAGUGGAAGGAAAAUAGCAGAGGUACACAGAGCUGGGGGUGGGAGGAGUUCUGACCCACUGGAGUUGCAACUGGACAUGCAAUUGAGAUCUGAAAAUAACCAUACUUCGGGAGGAAAGUCAUUCUAGUCAUAGAGUAAGGACUACAAAAAAUCUGCCCUAGCAAAUCUCAAUAACAAGCCCUGAAAAAGUCAACUGAUUCGUAAACUACUUAACUUUCUACAGAACAAAAGUCAAUAAUCAUUAAAGGAAGACAACAAAAUUCAGAUUCUCAGUAAAUCAGAAUUCACAAAAUCCAGCAUACCGAAAAUACACUAAAUGUGCCGAGGAAUAGGAAAAUUUAACUUGCAGCCAGGAAAAAAGUCAAUGGAGGCAGAACUGAAAUGACAAAGAUGUUGAAAUCAGCAAACUAGUACCCCAACACUGCCUCUUUUAUAUAUCUCAAUCUUACUCAACCUUGAAGGCUUUGGCCUUGAAUGGAUGGUUUGUGCAAUAAACUUUUCCUCUUAGUAGGUACAAUCGUUUUUAUCCAAUUGAGUGAACAGUAAUCUCUUUUGAAAGCAGAUGCCAUAAUAAUCUCUAGCGAGGAGAAGCCAAUCUAUUUCCAGCAGAAGCCAUAAAGAGCCCAGCCUACGAGUUCACCGUGUUAAAAAAAAAAAAAAAGUAAUAAAAUAUCUAUUUUCAACAUGCUUAAGGAUUCAAAGGAAAAAGAUCAAAAUAAUGAGUAAACAGAUGACAAAUCUCAAUGGAAAACUGGAAACUGUAAAACACAACCAAAUGAAACCUUUAGAAUUGAAAAUUUUAAUAUCCUAAACGAAAAAUUUAUCUGGUGGGGUUCAGCAACAGAUUUCACACAGCAAAGGGAAAAAUAAAUGACAAUGAAAAUUGGAAAAUAAAAACCACGCAAAACUGAAGCACAAAAACACGAGGUUAAAAAAAUUCCCUGCAGACUUUUGUAAGAAUUUACAAGUUAAUCCUAAAAUAUAUGUCAAAAUGUGAAUGAUCCAGAAUAGCCAAAACAAUCUUGAAAAAGAAAAACAUUGUGGGAUUACACAAUUUUAAGAUUUUCUAUAAAACUUCAAUAAUCAUGACAGUAUAGUAUUAUUAUAUCAUACACAUAAGAAAAAUAAUUUUAUAUAUUUUACACCUAAUGUAAAAGUUAAAACUAAAAACUUCUGGAAGAAAACACUGAAUAUUUUUGCAACCUUAGAGUAGGCAAAGAUUUCUUACAGUAGAAAAAGGACUAACUAUAAAAGCAUUUUUGAUAAAUGAGACUUCAUCAAAUUAAAACAUUUGUUCAUCAGACAUAUAUUUGCCUUUUAUAAAAUAUAUUCAUUAAAAUAUAAAGUGUAUUAUAAAUUACAUAUAUUUAAAUACAUUAUGAAGAUAUAUGAGUAAUAUAUACUAUAUUACAUUUUAUAUAUAUUUUAUUAAACUUCUCCCAAGACACACACACACAGAGAAACAUAUAUAUGACAAAGGGGUUGUAUGCAAAAUAUACACCAAAAAAUUACAACUCAUUAAAUUGACUACAGUUCAGCAAUAAAAAGAUAACAAUAAGAAAAGACAAAAUACUUGAGCAGACACUUCAUAAAGGAGAAUAUACAGAUGGGCAAAGAGCACAUGGUUAGUCAUCAGGGAAAUGUGGUAUUACCACAAUGAGAUAUCACCACACACCCAUUAGAAUGGCUAAAGUUAAAAAAAAUGAAAAAAAAAUUGGAAAGGAUGUGGAACAACUGAAACUCAUACUUUGUGGGUGGACAUGCAGAGUGGGAAAGCCACUUUGAGAAACAACUUGGCAACUUCUUAUAAAGGUAAACAUAUACCUACUUUACGAUCCAGGAAGGCACUCCUAACUCUUUACUCAAGAGAAAUAAAAAAUGUCUUCACAAAACUGCUGGAACAAAAAUAUUUAU